UACGGGGGGGGCAAGCGUUGUUCGGAAUUACUGGGCGUAAAGGGCUCGUAGGCGGCCAACUAAGUCAGACGUGAAAUCCCUCGGCUUAACCGGGGAACUGCGUCUGAUACUGGAUGGCCUGAGUUUGGGAGAGGGAUGCGGAAUUCCAGGUGUAGCGGUGAAAUGCGUAGAUAUCUGGAGGAACACCGGUGGCGAAGGCGGCAUCCUGGACCAACACUGACGCUGAGUGAGCGAAAGCCAGGGGAGCAAACGGG
rnacentral:rRNA from 1 species